CCCCGCCCCCUCCUGGCACACGCAGAGCCGAGAAUCGCCCCAGCCUGGCAAAGCUGCGCUCUGGCGGGUCUGGAGUGGCUCAGCGGCGCCCGCAAGGGAAAGGUGCGCUCUCGAUCCAGGAAACACAAGCUGGCUUCUUUGAGAUUGGCUGUCUUUCAACUGAACACUGACCAGAUUGGGAGCAAUUUAGCAUCAGCCCUAUAAGAGUAUAUAACCCUCACCCCAUUCUACAGAUGUUACAAAGGUGGAUCUGAUUAAAGAGUAUAAAGCAUUCUGAAAAUUAAAAAUGGUCUUCAAGAAGAUGGUGGAGGAACAAAUGGAAAUGCAAAGACAGCUCCUGUACCUUUAGUAUUUCUAUAGAAGAAAGGCAUUUCAAUAACUCUUUUUAAUGCCUUAAUCGCAAGUUGUAUCUGCCCCAAAUCCUACUCAUCUAUGAAAAGUCAUGUGAUCCCUGUCCUCCUUUGUAUCAAGUUGCCUAAGAACAAGGUGAGUUUGAAGAAUUUCAAUCUUGGAUGAUGUUCAAGUCUCAGUAACACAUCAGAAGUUGAAAUGACUGAGUGAAGGAGGAAGCUUAUGAAGCAUCAAUAGGUUGAGAGCUCUGAUGCUUAUUUAGGAGAGAAGGCAUCAGUAUGUCUCAGUUCAGCCCCUCUUUCCAGUGAACAAUUUUUGCUGGGUUCUU